UAUAUAUAUAUAUAUAUAUAUUAUUAUAUAUUAUUAUUUUGGGGUUGGAGUAGACCAUUCCCAUUUCAAGUUGAACUUUCCAAAAAAAAUGCAAAACAAUUUUCAGAAUAUUUAAGGAAAGUUGUAGUAGUGUGUUGCUGUGGAAACCCUCACUGUGUUCAUAUUAACUGUGAAGCCCAUUUGUUAUGUUCUCCUGUUUUGUUUCUACUUGAAGAAGCAAGUAUGCUUCCCCAAAUGCACCCUAUUUCCUAUGGGCCCUGGUCAGAAGUAGUGCACUACAUGGGGAAUAUGGUGCCAUAGGGUUCUGGUCUAAAGUAGUGCCCUAUUAAUGGAAUAGGGUGCCAUAGGGUUCUGGUCUAAAGUAGUUGUCCUAUUAAUGGAAUAGGGUGCCAUAGGGUUCUGGUCUAAAGUAGUGCCCUAUUAAUGGAAUAGGGUGCCAUAGAGUUCUGGUCUAAAGUAUGUGUGUGUUUGUGUGUAUAUAUAUAGCGUUUAUUUUGUUUACGUGACUAUCCUCAUUAGAUGUGCAUUUCUUUUAUUUAUUUUUUAUAACGAUUUCCCCCUUAAUCUUGAAUGUGUGAUGUGCCAUUAAGCUUGUUAUACGGGAGAAAUAUACAAAAUUACCAUGAACUUUACAUCUUCUCAAGUCCAUUUGUUACUAUAUACAGUAAAACAAAUAUCCGGUUGUAACGAAAUGAUGGAUAAUCUGAAAUGCAUUGAUUAGUCUAGCCUGGAGUGCCCCACAUUUCUUGUGAUUGGGUUUGAGGGUCCAUUUCAGCCAAUUCAGAAGUAAACUGAUUCAAAAGGAUAAUUAGAAUUUCACUUUCAAUUUGAAAUGGAAUUCAUCCCAACCCUGGCUGAAUGUCUUUUUCCCCUCUCACUGUGUGUAGAAGGUGAGAUGUCUCGUGUGUGAGCUUUAAGACAGACGUGUGUGUGUGUGUGUGUGGCGCUUAAGGUUAUGUCCAGCUCUACCUAUCUACGGUCCAAGUGUAACUCUUGUUCUGAUGGUUUUAUAAUUGCCUUAAUUAAGUAUUUUG
ensembl:lncRNA